rnacentral:rRNA from 1 species
GCAACUCGACUACAUGAAGCUGGAAUCGCUAGUAAUCGCGCAUCAGCCACGGCGCGGUGAAUACGUUCCCGGGCCUUGUACACACCGCCCGUCAAGCCAUGGAAGCCGGGAGUGCCUGAAGUGUGCAACCGCAAGGAGCGCCCUAAGGUAAAACCGGUGACUGGGGCUAAGUCGUAACAAGGUACC